rnacentral:tRNA from 1 species
GCGGGCGUCGUCUAAGGGUUAAGGCCCUGGCUUCCCAAGCCAGCAAUGGCGGUUCGAGUCCGCUCGCCCGCUCCA